rnacentral:sRNA from 1 species
AAGCCCCGUGUGUUCCGACGCGGUUGAUAACCCGGUAACCAUAAAGCGGUUAUCAACUGUGUCCUUUCUGCACUAGGCCCCGGCGCAAAUCGCCACUAUUACUUGGAG